GCAGCUUCACUAAAGGAGGUGGGGAAAAGGCAGAGAGGCACACAAAGACUCUGUGAAGCAACAGUCACUCCCAGGGAGGACUGCCAAAGAGAAAACAGCCUCGGAGGCAGACUAAACUAAAGUGAGACGCACAGUCAAAACGGCAACAGCAGAAAACUGCUCUUAACCCCGAAUAAGAAGAGAAGAGCAAGAAACCUGAGAACCUAAGAGGAGCAAGAAAGGGAUUUGUUUUUUGUGUCAUCUCACUUCUGCUCCACUCCACAUGCAGAGCAUCAUCACCACCUGAGGAAUUAUCCCUCCUAGCCUUAAUCUCAACCUGACUGCUUAUCUCUGUCUGCUAGUGACGCGCUGCACGUUUCAACGACAAACUAAGACUGACGAAGCAGUCAGUCUGGGCUGGGCCGAGCGCGUGAAAACAACACCUCUCACAGGAUGGAUGCCAAAGAGGAGACGCUGAGCAUCCUGAACAGGAUAUGGCUCAAGCUGCACGGUCUGCCCAACGCCAACCCAGUAGAGUUAGGAGCUUUCUUUGUCAUCUUAACCUUCAUCUUGGUGGUCCUGCUCAUGACAGUGCUGACCUGUGCGUCCUGCUGCUGCUGCUGCUGUCGCAAGUCAAAGAUGAAGGGAUCGAACAUUUGAGGAAAAAUGCUCCACACAAGGAAACCGGAAACAGGACAUGAUGUCGUCGAAACACAACAGGCUUUCUCUGCGGCUCUCUCAAACAUAAUAAAUCCUAAAGACUGAAGGAAAACUGAGAGUCAUGGUCAUAUACUUAAUAGACAUUCGAGACAUUUCAGCGAGCGACGAAGCCUCAUACAGGGUGUGUUCAACGACAAUAGAGGAGCCCAACCCUUCAACACACAACACCUGACAAACACAGAGAAGGAUGUCCUGACUGGCGGCCAAACACGCCUGCUAGGGCUGCCAGGUUUUCAGGAGAAUCUACAUUCCUUGGAGCAUCCCAGCACUUUAAAUGGCAACAACAACACUUCUGACCUGAAGAAACCCAAAGUGUCUUUAACAUUGUACGCAAAUACUUGGAAUAUGAGCUAUGAAAUGAGUAGAAUACUUUUAAAAAACUGCAGUGAGUUGCACAGUGAGUUAUGAGGGGGAUAGUCACAUUGGUUUGUUUAUGUUUUUCUAAACCUUGCGAUGUGUCAUUCUUAAGGAAUGAGAAUUGACUUAAGGUGUUUUCACACCUAACCUGAAAAAGAAGUCAGGUCCAUUUACCCGGGUUGUAUGGUUAAUUUGGGCUGGUGUGAAAGCUGUCAAUCAAACCCCGAUGUGGACUAAACAACCGAACCGAGACCGCCUGAAAAGGUGGGUCUCAGUACGCUUCCAAGCGGAUUCUGGUGCGGCUUAUUUUUUAUGGUGUGAAAGCAAACGAUCCGACCGCAGGAUUUUAUGAUAGCAGAUAUGUGAUUUUAGUAUAAUUUCAAAAGCUAAGCCACUAAUAAAUCCGUCUGCUGAUCGUGAAACCUGUUCAGGAAGCGAUCUUAUAAUUGAUCUGUAUAAGGUCAUGUAUAUAACCUAUUUAUGCAAAUCAUAUGGUAACCAUGGUAAUGCGUAUGCAUGUCAGCGCGGGUAUUUCCGUUGAUUAAAGGAACAGUGUGUAACAUUUCAGGGGAUAUAAGCAGGAAUGGAAUAUAAUAUUCAUAACAAUGUUUUCAUUAGUGUAUAAUCACCUGAAACUAAGAAUCGUUGUGUUUUUGUUAGCUUAGAAUGAGUUCUUCAUAUCUACAUAGGGAGCGGGUCCUCUUAUCGUAGUCCACCAUGUUGCUCCGCUAUGUUUCUACAGUAGCCCAGAACGGACAAACCAAAAACUGACUCUCGAGAGGGCCUUUCCUGUUUUUACCUCACCUGAAGGCCACCGUAGUUCUCCGACUUGCUUGUGAAACUGCGAUAACGUGAGACGCAGCAUGUAAAACCGUGGUACCGCCAGCCGCCAUCUGA